UCUCAGGAAAAGAAUUUUAGUCCAACCUAAAGUCACAUUAAUACAAUUAAAUAAACACCUGACUUUAGAGCAACUCAAAUAAGGUACAGCCUGUUUGAGAUAGGAAACAACCUUCACCAAUGGGUAACUAGGCCCCCCGGCAAUAUGAUCAAGUAGGCCUAAGAGCAGCCACCUUUUUAAGAGCGUCAAAGCUUAAAUAUUAGCCCAACAAAUAACCUCACUUCUAUUGACCCCUUCAACCGUACUGAGUACUUCUAUACUCUUAUAGAACCUUUCAUGUUAAAACUAGUAACAAGAAGUAAAACUUCUCUUUUAUGCAAGUAUAAGUCAACUAGAACCCAUCAAUGACAAUUAACAACUGACAAAUAGUAACUUCACCAGAAAACCCUAUUAUAUUACCACAUUAAUCUAACACAAGAGCAUAACAAGACAGAUUCAAAGAAAAAGAAGGAACUCGGCAAACCUCUAACCCCGCCUGUUUACCAAAAACAUCGCCUCUUGCUAACAUAAGAGGUCCAGCCUGCCCAGUGACUUCUGUUUAACGGCCACGGUAUCAUAACCGUGCAAAGGUAGCGUAAUAACUUGUCUUCUAAAUGAAGACUAGUAUGAAAGGCAUCACGAGGGUUAAACUGUCUCCUUUUUCUAAUCAGUGAAACUAAUCCCCCCGUGAAAAAGCGAGGAUAAAAUUAUAAGACGAGAAGACCCUAUGGAGCUUUAAACUUAACAGCACUUAUUAACAAAUUUAAAAUAGCCUUCUCAAAUACCCUGCUGUAAGUUUUAGGUUGGGAAGACCGCGGAGAAAAGCUAAUCCUCCACAAUGAAACAGAACUCACUCUUAAGCAAAAAGCCACAACUUAACGCAUCAACACUCUUGACAUCCAUUGACCCAAUAAUUUGAUCAACGAACCAAGUUACCCUAGGGAUAACAGCGCCAUCCAUUUUGAGAGCUCCUAUCGACAAAUGGGCUUACGACCUCGAUGUUGGAUCAGGGUGCCCAAGUGGUGAAGCCGCUACUAAUGGUUCGUUUGUUCAACGAUUAAUACCCU
rnacentral:rRNA from 1 species